rnacentral:lncRNA from 10 species
GCAAGUGAGGAAGUACUAGUAACAUGCCUUUCUCUAAAGGCAGGAUAUGUUUUAGAUCUUAAUUAAUAGCAAAUACAAUUUAAUCUCAUUACAAGUUGCAGGUCACGUUCAGUUUGGCUUUAUAUUCAUACUUAAAGCAGCAGCUUUCUAGAGCAACUUUUCUCGUAAUGGAGGCCAAAAUUCCAAGAGGUCAAGCGUAUCCAUGCAAGCACAUGAUUUGCAGGUAUUGGGUUGCACUAGGUGUAUAUUAUAUUCAUUCACUGUCCAUUGUCCUAAGGAACACAAGGAGCCAAAUCCAACUUGCGUGGGUCACGUGGCAAGAGUGCCAUGGAAUAAUGCUGUUAGCUGAAGUGGUAAAGAUAAUCUAUUACAGGAGUUUGUAUAG